AGCAGAACAAUGAUUUGAAAGUCCUGGGUUCUAUUUUCAGCUCCAGUGUUGACUGGCUGUGCAUUCAGCCCUAGGAAGGUCAAAAGCAGAAUGGCCUUGUGUCGGUGACUUUUUCUGUAUGUACAGCUCGGGAUGGAAAACAAAUCAGGCAUCUGGCUCUCAGCCUUGAAGAGCUGUGGUCUUUGGAGAAUAGAUGUGUAGUCACACUUUGUUUUCCUUUUUAAAGCAAAAGAACAGAACAAACUCUCUGGGGGGAGAAUGCGCUGGCAGAGACUAGAAGAGAGAAACCAAAUAACGUUCGAAACAAUCUGGGGGUUAAGGGAUUGUCUCAACCAUUCAGAUCAAAGAAGGCUCUUCAGGGUAAGUUGGAGUUGUCUGCCUUUGAAAAUGGAAGGGGCUAAGGUGUGAAAGAUUUCUCCAAACUUGGACAACAGUAGGAGUCCAGAACGCCAUCUGUAGGGGCAGCAAGAAUGCCAGUGGGCUUUACGCAUUAUAAGAACCAUGAUUAAGUCCUGGCGGUUAUACUCCUGGCUGGUUCUUAUUUCAGCUUUGGUUCCUCUUGCUCAUUCCUCAUAAAAAUUAUUAGUGUGGAUUGUGUACAUUAAGUCAUCUUCAACGGGAAAUUAAAUGGGGCAAUUUCUCUCGUCUAAGUGUUUCAGAAGAGGCCCGAUAUAGGCGGGUGCCAACGAGCCUCACAAAGCUAGGUGGUGGCUUACCUAUUGAGGGGGACUCCUGAGAGGUUAUGGAGGCAUUCCCCCCACGUUACCGCACUGGCAAUCUCUAACCCAUCAAGCAAGACUCUAAGGAAGCUGGCACUGAGGAUUACUUGGAAGUCGUAAUCAAUUUAGUAAGUGCCCUCAUCCUCAUGCUCCGACGCCAUUAGAUGCGUUUCUUCCUUAACGCAAACCAAAAGAGAGAGAUGUCAGUGAAACCACUGGGAGAGUUUGAUAUAUGUCUUCUGGACUUUAUGAGACCUAGGAACUGAUGUCUGACUCAUACUUGAAAACACAGGGGACUGUGGCCUGAACUACUUUUUUCUGGGGUCUACGACCAAGAUAUAUUAGGAGUAAUUAGCACUUCCAGAAUUUGGUGGGGCAAAUAAAGACCCUACUUAAGAAAGGUGGAUUGGGUCAUCAUGGGAAAGAUCUCCUGGAAGGGUAACAUGACCCCAUGAGUGGGGAUGUGCCACUAGAAGCCAAGAGAAUGAAGAAGACAUAACUGGCUAGUCUGAGAAGGCGUAACUACAGUCAGCAGAGCAAUUACUGCAUGACAUCCUAUAAUGUAGACAAAGGGAGGUAUCUUAAAACAAAAAAAAACAAAAAAAAAAACCACACCUCACCAAAUGUCCCACGAGAGCAAAGUCAAGCUACAUUCAGAGUCCACUACAUUCAAAGGAUCACAACAGAUUUAUAAUAACACAAGUCGGGGCACCUGGGUGGCUGAGUCAGUUAAGCGAUCGACUUCGGCUCGGGUCACGAUCUCACAGUUCGUGAUUUCGAGCCCUGCAUCGGGCUCUGCGCUGACAGCUCCCAGCCUGGAGCCUGCUUUGGAUUCUGUCUCGCUCUGUCUCUGCCCAUCCCCUCCCCCUUUCUCUCUCCCUCUCUCUGUCUCAAAAAUAAACAUAAACAUUUACAAUAACAGGGGCACCUGGGUGGCUGAGUCGGUUAAGCGACCGACUUCGACUCAGGUCAUGAUCUCAAGGUUAUGGGUUCGAGCCCCACGUCAGGCUCCAUGCUGACAGCUCAGAGCCUGGAACCUGCUUCAGUUUCUGUGUCUCCCUCUUUCUCUGCCCCUCUCCUGCUCACGCUCUGUCUCUCUCUCUCUCUCAAAAACAAAACAUUUUUUAAAAAAUUAUAACAUGAGUCAAGUUUACUCCACUUUUCCAUCUUCCCCUUGCUUGCCCAACUUUCCCUGUCUCUGGAGAGAACAGAAACCACAGCCAUGGAAGGGGGCAACAAUACAAAGAGAAGGAAGUGAGGCGAUCAACCUGGCCCCUUCUCCUAGUCCCAGAUUUCCAACACGAGUGAUAACAGAGCUGUGAGAGGAGAUGGCUAACGUUUAUAUGGAUUAGACUUUCUACUGCACCAGACUUUUCACUACCUGAAAAAAAAGUAGGGCUUGGGGAUUUGUUUUGUUUUAAUUUAUCACCUGUUGGUAACUAGGAAAGCCAAUGGAGAACUUCCCAGAGAUUUACUGGUUAGUGGAACCUGGGGGUUGAAGGUGAAUAUCAGUUUUGGAGGGGCAGAAGCAAAAUAAAAGUUGCUUUCUACUUGUUACCUACCAAGUCCAGCUCAGACAAUAAACAGGUUUAACUUGAAUAUUUUUUCUACAAAUAAAAAAUAUAUAUAUUUUGGAUUCAA